rnacentral:rRNA from 1 species
GGGGAAUAUUGGCCAAUGGGCGAAAGCCUGAUCCAGCCAUGCCGCGUGUGUGAAGAAGGUCUUCGGAUUGUAAAGCCCUUUAAGUUGGGAGGAAGGGUUUAUGGUUAAUAUCCAUGCAUUUUGACGUUACCUACAGAAUAAGCACCGGCUAACUUCGUGCCAGCAGCCGCGGUAAUACGAAGGGUGCAAGCGUUAAUCGGAAUUACUGGGCGUAAAGCGCGCGUAGGUGGUUCGUUAAGUUGGAUGUGAAAGCCCCGGGCUUAACCUGGGAACUGCAUCCAAAACUGGCGUACUAGAGUAUGGCAGAGGGUAGUGGAAUUCCCUGUGUAGCGGUGAAAUGCGUAGAUAUAGGAAGGAACACCAGUGGCGAAGGCGACCCCCUGGGCUAAUACUGACACUGAGGUGCGAAAGCGUGGGGAGCAAACA